rnacentral:rRNA from 1 species
UACGGAGGGAGCUAGCGUUGUUCGGAAUUACUGGGCGUAAAGCGCACGUAGGCGGCGAUUCAAGUCAGAGGUGAAAGCCCGGGGCUCAACCCCGGAACUGCCUUUGAAACUAGAUCGCUAGAAUUCUGGAGAGGCGAGUGGAAUUCCGAGUGUAGAGGUGAAAUUCGUAGAUAUUCGGAAGAACACCAGUGGCGAAGGCGGCUCGCUGGACAGAUAUUGACGCUGAGGUGCGAAAGCGUGGGGAGCAAACAGG